CACGUAGGGUGCGAGCGUUGUCCGGAAUUAUUGGGCGUAAAGAGCUCGUAGGCGGUGUGUCGCGUCGGCCGUGAAAACCUGCAGCUUAACUGUGGGCUUGCGGUCGAUACGGGGCAUCACUGGAGUUCGGCAGGGGGAGACUGGAAUUCCUGGUGUAGCGGUGAAAUGCGCAGAUAUCAGGGAGGGAAACACCCGGGUGGGCGAAAGGCGGGGUCUCUGGGGCCCGAUACUG
rnacentral:rRNA from 1 species